CGCGGGGUGGAGCAGUGGUUAGCUCGGAUGGCUCAUAACCAUCAGGUCGGUGGUUCAAAUCCACCCCCCGCAA
rnacentral:tRNA from 1 species